CAACUGCAUUACUCCUCUUUCAUCAGCUUGUUUUCAAGUCCAUGCAAUCCCAGGUUUUCUCAGGCUGGAGUAACACAGCAAUAAUGGCAGCAUACCCAGCCAGACUGCACCCCCUCCCCACCCUCCAACAGCCUCAAAAAACAGACGAGAGGGGAGGGAAUGGAGGAGAUUCACAGACAGACCCCGGGGGGAGGAAGGUGGAGAAGUACGAAGAAAAGAAGGGAAAACACAAAAAGCAAAAAAUAAGGCUUCCCUGUUGGAAAUGUGCUCCAUAAAUGAAGCUGGCUCGUCUGACACAGAACCUGAGAAUGCCAGAUAUGAAUUCAGACGAAAUUACCACAGGUAUUCAACCCAAAAUAAAGAUGCAUUUAGCAGACCAGGCAGGGAAAUAAACACAACCAAAGAUGAGAAUUGUGGGAUGUGCAAGAAGAGGAAUAGAGGAUUUCCUCUGGGACGGGACACAAGAGCAGUGACAACAGGAAAUCAGUGUGAAAAUGACAGAAAGAGGAUUCCCACAGCAUGCCUUCCCCUGCCUCCUUCACUGUUUUCUCAUUGCUUUUCUUCUCUCCUCCGGCUCCUUUUCUCACCUCCCCUUUAGCAUCUUUGAGUGCGUGCCACCGUCUGGUUUCUCCAGGGAUCUGAGGUUACUCAUCUACAGCUGAAGGAAAGAUGAGACCAAUGGUGUUAACUGCGCCUCCUGUUUUGGAGGAAUUAGACAAUGCGUGUGGUGUUCGUAGUGUUUUAAUUUAUAAAUUAAUGACCUAAAACAACAACCGGGAUAAAGGUUUGUGCUUGACAGAUAAUCUGCAGGCAGCGUUUUAGAUAAUCAACGAUGCUGGAACGUUUUUCAUGGAUGAUAAUUUACUUGCCAUAUGUAACAAAAACGCUUUUUCAAUUACACAUUGAUAAAGAAAUGGUAACAAAAAACAUGUCAUAAUACAUGACCCAAUUACAGAUUAGGGAGCGUUGAGUAAAACAUCCCCCUUGAGCCAACAGGUGGAUCUCAGAAGGAGACAUAAGAACAUUUUGGAGCUUAAAUAAAUCGCCAAAAGUUGGAGGAUGUGUUUGGUGUAUGAUGUGAGGAGAGUAAUACAUGUAUUGUCUGUGCCUGAUAUUUAUGCCCUAAUAUCUUCAUAAUUGGAAAGGAAAAUUCUGUAUUUAAAGGAUAAUGUUGGUGCGAAGUCACUGGUUACCACUGUGACAAAGAAUCUGUAAUCAACCUACUGUUUAUUUCUGUUUGAGUAACAUAUAAAGAAACUAAUAAACCAAU